CUUGGUCAUUUAGAGGAAGUAAAAGUCGUAACAAGGUUUCCGUAGGUGAACCUGCGGAAGGAUCAUUAGUGAAUCCUCAAAGUCGGCUCGUCCUACUGUGCUGGUGGAGACACAUGUGCACGUUGCGAGUCGCAAAUCCCACACACCUGUGAAUCUAUGACUCUGAGUCUGCCGCUUUGCAUGGCCUUGAUCGGCCUGGCGACUCGAGUACUUUUACACACUCUUGAAUGUAAUGGAAUGUCUAUUGUGCAUAACGUACAAAUGAAACAACUUUCAACAACGGAUCUCUUGGCUCUCGCAUCGAUGAAGAACGCAGCGAAAUGCGAUAAGUAAUGUGAAUUGCAGAAUUCAGUGAAUCAUCGAAUCUUUGAACGCACCUUGCACCCUUUGGUAUUCCGAAGGGUACACACGUUUGAGUGUCAUUGUAAUCUCACUACAUUCGACUUUGUGUCGCUUGUAUGUGGACUUGGAUGUUGCCGUGGAUUUCCACGGCUCGUCUGAAAUGCCUGAGUGUACCCCAUUUUGCGGCGUAUUCGGUGUGAUACAUCUUCACCGGAGUUGAUCCUUUCGGGUCGCGUCAGUAUGAGUGUGGCUCUAUGCUUCCAAUUGUCCCUUUAUAAGGACAAUCUCUUGACAAUUUGACCUCAAAUCGGGUGGGACUGCCCGCUGAACUUAAGCAUAUCAAUAAGCGGAGGA
rnacentral:rRNA from 1 species